UACGGGGGGGGCAAGCGUUGUUCGGAAUUACUGGGCGUAAAGGGCUCGUAGGUGGCCAACUAAGUCAGACGUGAAAUCCCUCGGCUUAACCGGGGAACUGCGUCUGAUACUGGAUGGCUUGAGGUUGGGAGAGGGAUGCGGAAUUCCAGGUGUAGCGGUGAAAUGCGUAGAUAUCGGGAGGAAUACCUAUGGCGAAAGCAGGCUACUGGACCGUCACUGACUCUGAUCUGCGAAAGCUAGGGGAGCAAACAGG
rnacentral:rRNA from 1 species